AUCCAGCUGACGAGUCCCAAAUAGGGCGUCCUGGAU
rfam:Schistosoma mansoni strain Puerto Rico chromosome 3, complete genome